GACAGAGGUGGCUAGCGUUGUUCGGAUUCAUUGGGUGUAAAGGGUGCGUAGGCGGCUUAGAAAGUCAGAUGUGAAAGCCCACAGCUCAACUGUGGAAUUGCAUCUGAAACUCCUAGGCUUGAGUGCGAGAGAGGUGAAGGGAAUUCCCGGUGUAAGGGUGAAAUCUGCAGAGAUCGGGAGGAACACCAGUAGCGAAGGCGCUUCACUAGCUCGUAACUGACGCUGAGUGCACGAAGGCGUGGGGA
rnacentral:rRNA from 1 species